CUUUCUCCCAGAGCUCUCAUAAAAAGAUAAGUGAUCAGAGUAACACCAGGCUGGCUGUACUGAUGGCAACUGCCUUGGUCAUGCCAUGGGCAUGGCACAGCAGGCACAGGGUUGGCAGUUCCCUGUGUCUCAUAGGCACUGGUGAUCUAGCCAAUAUUGGGAGGUCACAUGAAGUGCUGAACCGCUUUGCCAGCACUGGCCAAAGUAGAGCAGGAUGGUGAGCAGAGUCAGAGCCAGAGGCCCAGAGGAGAACAUUCCCAUGAAUGCCUCCUGUCCUCUGCUGCUCACCGGGAGACAUGUUCCACGAUAAACAAGGACACAGAUACAAAGAUAAGUGAUCAGAAAAACACCAGACUGGUUGUACUUCUGGGCAUCAGCUGCUGGCACCUUCCUUGGUCAUGGCAUGGGCAUGGCACAGCAGGAACAAUGUUGGCAGUUCAUUGUGUCAAACAGGCACUGGUGCCAUGGCCAGCACUGGGAGGUCUCAUGAAGUGCUAACCACGGUGCCCGCACAGGCCAGAGUAGAGCAGGAUUAUGAGCAGAGUCAGAGCCAGAGGCCCAGAGGAGAACAUGCCCAGACCAUGAGUGCCUCCUGUCCUCUGCUGCUCACCUGGAGACAUGUUCCACGUUCUCCAAGAGCUCUUAUAAAAAGAUAAGUGAUCAGAGUAACUCCAGGCUGGCUGUACUUCAGGGUAUCACGCUGACAACAGCCUCGUUGACACCAUGGGCAGGGCACAGCAGGCACAGUGUUGGCAGUUCCCUGUGUCACACACGCAUUGGAGACAUGAAGGCUGUAGGGAUGUAAUAAAAAGAGCUUCUCGCUGCUGCGAGCCCAGGCCAGAAAAAACAGGAUGGUGA